CUUUUUAAAAAACUCAUCAUUGAAUCCCCACUGUUGAGCACAGUGGUUGGCACCUUGUAGGUAAUUAAUAAAUAAUGACUAAAUUAAUGAAUGCAUGGGUGAACUAGAUAGAAUUAGACCCUUUUAACAGAUUAAGACAUCAAGGCUCACUCUAAGUAAGAGUUUAGAAGUACCAGAUGCAGGAUUCAGACGCAGGGUCACAAAACCUAGGACACUGCAAUAUCUAUAGUAGUACUGACAGAUUUUGUUUUUAAGGAUCCUCUAAUCACAGUAUAGUAACACACUGUUUUUUGUUUUAAGGCUCUACCUUUUUUUCUUUGCAUGUACACAGAAUAUUUUGAGGGUAGGAACUGGAAUCUCUAGUUGGAACAAGGCAUUUCCUCCUCUUUCCGCUGUCUUGAUGUUUUCAGAGUGUCCUGCCUGGUUGAGCCUUUCUUCCAGUGCCUAAUCAAACUAACCCAGGUGAACUUGGCCGCUGACCUUGCUUUCACAAAUUUGCCGUCUCAGAAUGAUUGAUGUCUGCUUGGUCCCUGUUGGAAAGGUGGCUGCAAAUAUGAUCCAGGAAAUCUAUAGUCGCAAAUCUAGCAUAAUUUUAACGAGUCGUGAUCAGAAUAGUAAGAAGCCCUGCAUGGAAGCCUUUGCAUGAAAAUUACUCAUCUUCUGUCAUCAUUGCCCUUUACAUUGGCUUCUCCAAGUCCCCAUGUGAGGUAUCCAGCUCCAGAAACCUCUGAAUGUUGUGACUAAACACACUUGUAUUGCAUAGAUGGUUCAUGGAUGAGUGGAUGCAUGGAUGGAUGGGUGGAUGCUUUAGAUCAUAAUUUCAUGUCAAUAUAGUUCACAGAUCUAGAACCAGAAAGAAGAUGGGGUGAAACUAAAGAUUACCUCUAUUAAUGCUGGCUUACAAUGCAGUGCAUGGUAUACAGAAACGAUUUGUCUGAGAGCUCAAUUUUCACUUAUGUGAUUGUCUCAGCUAUAGUGCUUUUUGCAAGGUGUGAGAAUUUCCUGUUUACUUAUCUGCUCGCAAUCUAGAAUGUUCAUUCCUUGAGGGCCAGGACUAGGUUAUGUUUAGGGUCUUAUUCCCGGAGGCUUGCGUAAUCCUGGCCGGUCCUAGGUGCUCAAAAGUUUUCUUGAAUGAAACAUGGCCUUCUCACAACGACGGUGAAGCAUAUUGUAAGCACAAGUGACUUGUCAGGAGGGUGAAUCUCUGCAUUGUUUUAAUGAGAAAUAUUUGAAUCUCUAGGGUCGAGGGCACACGCCCACGCCUGUGUGAUGGACAGCCUGGUCUGCUCUUAAGGACUGCAAACAUUAAGGAAAUAGCAAUGUGUGUAAUCCUCUCCUUGAAGAUCCUGGCCACCCUGAGGAGUCCAGCUCUUAGGCAAGGAGAGCCUAUUAUUCACAACCAAUGUUUACUAAACAAAACAACUCUUUCAUCAUCCCUGACUUAGCUUGAACUGACCCCAGAAAGCAAAGCCUAAUGUGAGGGAUUGUGUGAUUCCAGGAAAUAGGAUGGGAACUUGGGGAGAGUGUGACAGGGAAGGAGGGAUGGUCCCUUCAAGGGAGCAGAUGCAGACAGAGAGUGGAAAACUGAGACACAUUCCUCCCAGGACCCUCUGAGAAGAGCCACAGAAUAAAAAUGUCUGUCUCUAGGAAACAGUUAUCUCUAGAAGCCCUAUUGGUCAGGGUUCGUCCACGGGAUGUCAGCUCCCUCUGAUUCCCUGGCUGUGCUAGCACGAGUGACCCCAUGGGUUCCUGCAGGCAUUCCAGUCCAAAGUGUCUGAGGAACCCCAGGGCAGAAUGCAGGAGUGAGAGGAGCAUCUGAACCCUGUGCCGUCUGAUCACACCUGCAGGAAGCUGGUGUCACGGUCAUGGGUGGGAAGUGUGUGGAGUAGGGCUCAAGGAGUGGUCAGCUCAGUCUACUAGUUUAGAUAUGGACUUUAAAGGUCAUUUAUGAGGAUCCUUAUCCUACUAGAAUGGGCUUAUAAGCUUGAAAGGUUAAUACCUGGUAGGAUGCCUUAGAGAAACUGAGGCAGAAGAUAGUCCUGGGGGUACAAUCAGCACAGUGUGGUAGAUAUGGACCCAGUCUUUUGUAUCAAACAUUCCUGGUUUUGAAUUCUCCCUCUGCUGCUUCACAGAGUGAACUUGAAAACAUGAUUUAGUCUGUUUAGGUUAUAGGUUUGCCAUGAUACUAAUGGCAACCUCAUACUGUUUAAGUUGUGGAUCUUUUAUCAGGAGGAUGUAUUCCUAUGUUGCUGUCAUAACUGGAUAUAAUAAAAUGAUGUUUGAAUGGAUCUGAAAUAGAUUUGCAACAGGUUUUUAAAAAGGAACCACAACUUGUUGGGUUGAUAAGACCAUCACAUGAUGUAUGCUUAUACGGCCAUUAUCCCAGAGGAAACCUUCAGUACAUGGUGGUCUUCUUGCUGGUGAUGAAGAAGAAGAGGAGGGGGAAGGAAGGCCACCAGAGUAGGCACAGGAGGAAGGAGUACUCCCGGGGUCUUUGGAAGGGAAGACCAAGGGUCUGUGGGAACUUGCUGGUCCCUACCUUCCCCAUUCCCUCAUCUGGCAAGGAGAACUGGUGUUAGUGUACUUCCUAGCGACAGCCAUCACUGGCUCAGAACCUGGGAAGAACGUGGGCCAGCAGAGAGGACUCAAAGAUAGUGCAUGAGAAGGUGAUAUAGACCAGGAGAGGGGAAUGUGAGGCCAGGACUAAUGGGGGUUAACACAGCAGCUGACAUUUUCUGAGCACUUCUAAUGCGUGGUUCUGUUCUGAGAACUUUCUGCUUAUCAUCUGUUAGUCACAGAUCGUCUAAGCACCGUAAUUUACAUUUUACACAUCACGACUCUGUGGCUUGGAGAGAAUAGGUAAUUUGCCCCAAGUCACAGUGCCAGGAGGGGCAAAGCUGAGAACUGAAGCCAGGAAACGUGAUCCCAGAAUCUACGUAUGAAAUUGCCCCCUUGCAUUGCCUGCUGUAGCAAUUGCUUCUGGUUCACACCUGGCCUGGGAAGUGGGGAUAACACAGGGACACAGAGCAUUUCUCAGGCCCUAAGUUACGAAUAUGCACUAUGACAUAUGCUUCAGUAAUUGAGUAAAAUGUUGAUGAGUUACUCUAUGAUUGAUUACUAUUGUAUUUGUCAGGGUCCCAGCAGGAAGGAGAGUCACACACACACUGGAAUAACUUGAAGAAAACCGAAUAGACUAUUUACGGAGGUGUGGGAAGAUUUGGGGACAACUACUGAAGGACAGGGCAGCACUUGAGAGCCAUGACCUGAAAGUGCAGGGAGAGAGGGGCCACAGAACCCGGAGGGAGCACUCAGUGUCGGGAGACCUGGUCUUCCUAGAGGGACACAGCCAGGGAGGGAACCAGAGGAGGGGGUGCCUUAACCACACCCGCUCCUAUCUGAUGUCCUGCUGGUAACUUCCACUAGUCAAAUCUGAAAGGAAGCCAGAUGAGAGAGCUAGGGGAGAAAACAGCCCCUAGAGGCCAGGGUCUUGGAGCACAAAGGGGGAUGGAGACAAGUUGAUCUGAUAUGGUGAACGGGUGCACCCAACACUAUUGCCAACCUGCAAAUCUAUAUCCUGGGAGGUAUCUGUGGUGUUCAGAGAGGGAGUAUUAUCCUUCCAGUGGAAUACUCUUCACCCAGAAAAAAGAACGAAGCGCUGGCAUGCACUUCAACUUGGGUGGACGUUGACAACAUGAUGCUGAAUGACAGAAGACAGCCAUGAGAGGCCACCUGUUGCAUGAUUCUGGAGAUGUCCAGAACUGACAAACACAGGGAGACAGGAAGAUUAGGCUCACCAGGGCUUGAGAGAGGAAGGAAUGGAGAGUAGCUGCUAAUAGGUACUGGGUUUCCUUUUGGGGUGGUGGGGAUGUUCUGGAACUAGACAGUGGUGAUGGCUGUGUAGCACUGUGAAUGUGGUAAAUGUCACUAACAGUGAAUUUGAUGUUAUGCAUUUUUUACUACAAUGAAAUAAACCGAUAGAUGAGAGGGAACUUCCUUCUCACGAUUUGUCUUUUGUUCACUCUCUGGGCAGACACCAGAACGCACCUGACACUUUCUUGCUAGAAGGUUGGUGGGAGAGGCAUGCUCUCUGUCAGUGGCCCAGCUUCCCACUCCGGUGCCUGCUACUGUCCACACACACAGCGGUGCCAGGGAAUCGCCAGCUCCUAGGAGGCCAGCCAAGCACUGGGUGGAGUCAGUAAACACCAGCCUUCCUGUCCCACAUGUGGGGUCUCAGGGAGGCGUGCGCCCCACACCUGUUCCUGGAGGCCCCCCCCGCAGGCCUCCAGGUGGCUGCAGUAGUUGACUGACAGCAGCAUCAUUCUACUCCCCCUUCUCCUUCGCGUCUCACUUUCCCGCUUACCUGCCUGUGCGCCCACAUCUCCCGGAUCAGCUGCAGCUCUCAAGUGCUGUCUGAGGAUUUAUAACAACUAUAAAAUAAUAAUAGAUAACAUGUAUUGAAUUCUUUUUAUUAAAAUAUGUAUGGGAAGAGACUGGCUUGUGUUCAUUUUGCCUCUCCUCUUCCCAUGAUAAGGCUGUCUUUAUGUAUGAGGUGAACUCCCAUCACUGGUUCUUAGAUGUGCGUGUUAGCAGAAGCCCCCAGGGAGAGUAGCAAAAGUGCAGCUUCCCAGGCUCUGCCCUCAAAUAUGCCGAUUCAGUAAGUCCAGAUGCAGGGUCUUGGAAUGUGCGUUUAUCAAGCUCUUCAGAUUUUUUUAAAGUUUAUUUAUUAUUGAGAGAGGGGCGGAGGAGAGAAACAGAGAAAACAUGCAGGGGAGGGGUAGAGAGAGAAGGAGACCUAGGAUGUGAAGCCAGCUUGAAGGGCUCAAACUCACAAAUCCUUGAGAUCGUGACCUGGGUUGAAGUCUGAUGUUCAACCUACUGAGCCACCCAGGCGCCCCAGCUCUUCAGAUUAUUCCUGUGCAGGAUAGAGGAGGAACAGUCUCUAUGGAGAAACUCUGGACAGUGGUAUCAUGCAGACUGACAGGGGAGGCCAUGUGAUGCAGGUAUCCACAAACACCUGCUCAAAUCCCCCAAAUUCUGCAGGGAGAAAUACCCCACUAUACAUUUACUUCCUCUUCAGCUGGUGGAGUCCACAUCCACAUCCACGUAUGGAGGUUCGUUUCGGUAUUUAAUAAUCAUUAAGUAAAGAGAGAGUGAAAUAUCUACACUGUGUAAUUACAUAAAACAUGCUUCUGGCAAUAUUUGCCCCCUUGGAAAUUCAAAUUGGAAGUCUCUAAGGAGCAAGGUUGUAUUCUUGGAGGUGGACACAAAGUAAUUGAGCUUAGCUAAUGGAGAUAAUUAAUUAGGAAAUGGUUGUGCUUGCUUCUAAGAAAAAUAUUGGAAGGAUCUCCCAGAAGGCCUAGCCCUCUCUGCCCUUGCUAUUUUCAGAAGUCAAUGACACCUAGGGAGACUGGUAUUUCCUCUGAGUCAUGGCCUGGCCACACUCAGGAUUUGAGGGGACAGAACGCAAAUAGCUUGGCCCAACCCUGAGGGUGUCUGGGCUCUACCUUCAGGAAACUACCCCAUUCAGCCUGGGGUUGGGGUCCCAUUCCUCCACUUAUCAGCCUCUGAACUGAGCCAAGUUAGUCAACUUCCACAGGGCGUAGUGUUCUCAUCUUAAAACCAGGAGUUAUAAUCGUAACAACACAAAUGGGUACCAGCAAGACAACACUCUCUCUCUCUCUCUUUCAGCAGAGGGUCUUGUUUUCCUGUAUCUGGGUUACCUGUUUGACCCUUUUUGCCCAAGUUGGGUCUGCCUGAGCCUAGCAUUCUGGCGUGAUCUUUCUAGCUUGUCUGUUUGUCACCUCCCCUUCCUGCCCCUCUCUGUUUCCAAAGGCCAGCCCAUUCUUGCCUAAUAUGCCAGGCUUUCUGGGCCUAUUCCUGCUGCUGCCACAUGACAGUGGCAUGAAUCUUCCAGCCCAGCCCUACAUUUUGUCAUCCCUGUGGUAGGGAAUGAUAACACAGUGGUAAGAGGUUGCAUUCAGACCCCCUAGCUUCCUCUUCCCUAAUCAUAUCACACCAGGAUGGGCCAGGACAACAAGUCAUCUUUGGAAAUAUGGUUGGACCAGAAGAAUCAGCAGCUCUCAAGGGGCAGGAGAAUAAGGGGGCAAGUCAUAGAGGUCAUGGGCAAGGCGUGUGAGCCAUCAUGGAUGGAAGAAUGCAUUCAUCAUCUGGGCAAAACCUCAUUUGUCUUGCUCACCAUGCUGUCUAUACCGUCUAGCUCAGUUGGUAAUUGUGCCAUGAGAGAGAAGCUGACAUCCGAGCCAAAGAGGCAGAGACUUGACCUGGAGGAUGUUUUUCCUUUCUGGUGUGGCAAACAUUACAUUACAUGUUAUUAGGAUAUGCUACAGUAAGGCUUCUGUUUUCUAUGUUGAUGAAAAUGCAAGCUUUUUUAUUCUGUUAUAGAACUAAUAGAAUCAUAGCACAUUUAUCCUUGACUUUUCUGUCCUCUUAUUAGAUCCACUCUGGGAAGUUGGGUGGGAUGUGUCUUUCCCCCAUCUACCCUUUCCCAUUUAUACUGGAGCAAUCGAAACCAGCAAUGGAAAAUUAAUGAAUAGCCAAGAUCCAUGUGGGAAGACUGAGGAGAAGUCCCUUGGGGGAGUGAGGGACUCAAGCCUAUUUAGGGGAAAAGGUCUAAUAAGGGGAAAAUACCCAGGUUCUGGUACCUACAGACAUCUCUUGGUGUCCAGGAUUAGAAGGCAGGUUGAAUAAACAUAGAUCCAGGAUUCAGAACAAAAGGGUGGUGGUGAGAGUGUACCAUGGAGUCUGAUGUAAGCAUUCCUGCCACUUAUCCCAUUGGGGCCAGAUAGGAUUGUCUCUGGGUCAUCGGUCCCUUAGCUAUAAUGAUGCGUCUCUAUCUGGGAUAGCAACCAAUUUUCAUUUUGUGAGUCAGCUGUCAUGUAGAGGCUGCCUAGAUCUCUGUACUUCUGAAGCUCAUCAGGAAGGUGUGCUGCAGUUGAUGAGUGAUGUCUGCCACAGGCAUAGGUGUAGAAGUUUCAUCAUGUGUACCACAUGCUCACCAUCUCAGGUUAAUGUAUAUGCAAUGAAGUCAAGACUUGGGGAGUUGCCUCAGUAUAUAAGGACUCUUCCCAAAAUAUUUCCUUGAAAAAUACAGAUCCUCCAGAUCGGUCCUAUCUGGAGUCUAAUUUGGUUAUAGAAAACAGAACUAUUUGUAAUUGUUUUUGACCCCUUUUCCAAAUUAUUAGUGCUUUGGCAUAAAAGGGAAAGGCAGAGAAGAUGCACCACUUUGGGGAUUACCCUUUACAAACAUGACUUUUAGGUGCACCAUGAACCUGAACUCAGAGCCAGACCUCAGUCCCUGACUUAAGUUCUGCUUUUCUAAGGCCAUAGCCUCCUUCUCAGAGUUGAGGAGGAUAAGAGUAGAAGACAAAUAACUUGUGUGUUCUUUGAGAAAAAAAAAAAUCACAUUUAAAAAGCAGCUUGACAGUGGCUAAAUUCAACUGUUUAUCAUGUAAUAUACUGGAGUCUGGCAAAUUUAGCUGAGCUGGGUGAAACUUAAGACAAAGGGUACAUCACCUAUUACAAAGAAACAUGUGUGUUUUGUGUGUUUACCCAGCAAACUUGUAAGUAAUUUAGAGCACAGCCAUUGGCAGGCAAGUUCUAUUUUGGAGCAAUGAUCCAAUGAAAGAAAAAAGCCUCCGUUUUAUUGAAAGACUAUGAGAUCAUGUCUACACCGUAAAAAGUGACACCUGGGUCAAGAACUGUUAGUAACUGACAAAGAUAUGUUUGCACAUGUAUAAAUGUGUGUGUGCAUUUGCAUGUGCAUGUCCCUCUGUGUACAUAUGUGUGUGCAGGGACAGGUCCUGGUGUGUGAGCUUUUGUAUAUGAAACAGGCUUCUCAGGCUGUAAGGAGGCCAGUGGGUAUUCAGCCAGGCUUGGCUUAGGCAAGCCGUAGCUUUGGUUGUGUGAUUUUAUGCUCAGUUCUUGGGUUCUAUGAAGAAGUUUGACCAUUUCUAGAAUUCUAGAAUGUUUACCAUGUAGGUAAACAUUUCAGAGUUCUUCAAACAGAACCUUAGUUUUAUAUACAAACAAGCUUUAAAAAUUUUUUAAACUUAUUUAUUUAUUUUGAGAGAGACAGAGAGAGUGAGAAGGGGAGGGGUCAAGAGGGAGGAAGAGAGAGAAAAUCCCAAGCGGGCUCCACACUGCCAGUGCAGAGCCCAGCAUGGGGCUUGAGCCCAUGAACUGCGAGAUCAUGACCUGAGCUGAAACCAAGAGUCAGAUGCUCAACCGACAGAACCACCCAGGUCCCCAACAAACUUUUUGAUGAGUGUUUUUCAGGCACACCUCUUGUGAAUGGUCCCCACUUAGAUAUCAUGGUGCCCUGUGGGAGUCAGGUCAUGACAAACAAGCCUGGUGCCUUUGCAGAGAGGGCUGAGUAAUAAGGUGGAAAGAGCAUAUCUCUCUUCCAUGUUAUCCUUAAUGAAUGAGAGUUAGCAUUUUCCUGCUCACUGCAAAAGGAAAUGAUAAUGACCCUAGGCCCCCCCUUUCCAUACCCUUCUCAGAGAUUCGGGUAAUGCAUAAUUAACUUAAUCAUCAGCGUUGAGGGUUAUCAUUUGCCAAGAACAUGUGUUUGGUGUAUGUGGGUCCUGGAGAGAGUGACCGUGGAAUUUCUGGUUCAAAUCAGGAUCCCCUUAACAGCAAAGGGAGCUGCUAUUAAUAAUUAUACUGAGGCAGUUACACUCAGCUCGAACCUUCCUGGGAAAAGUGCGACAUGUACUCACCUUAGCUGGGAAAGAUCUUGGAGCUUUUCCCUGCCAGUCCUGCAGAGGACACUGAGAGGAACAGAAUAAACAGAUCGCUGGAUUCCUCAGGAUUGACUCACUUAUAAAUGCAGAGAAUCUUAGCACAUAUUUGGGUAUUAGCUUCACUUAUGCUGCUGGUUACUGGGUGGGCAGAGAUUAUGGGAGGAGGCCUGAGGAAUGCAGGCUUCCCAUCCGUUUUUCCCAGAAGUGGCAGUAUGAUGUGUGGAUCAGAGAAUGGUCUGGGAAUCAACCAGACGUGUCAUUUACUUGCUGAGGGACCCUGGGCAGAGCUUCAGUUUUUCAGAUCUAAAAGUAAGAACAUUUGUUCCCUCAAGUGAUGAUUAUGAUUCCACGUGGUGACCUGUGGGAAAGAUCCCAGCACCCAGCACACUUUUCCUCCUUGUAGUGAAGACCCAGAAUGUCACUGAUGCCCUGGGGAAAACAGACUGACUGAGAAGUGCGGUAACAAAUGGGAGUUUAUUUUAGUAAUUAUUUCAAAUACUGGCCGUAUCUCUGGACCAUAACUGCCCCACAUUUGGAACGAUUCAGGACAGACAAUUUCUUGUUCAAACUACACCAAGACAUUUCCUCCCUGGAUCCCACUUAUGGAGAGAAGCUACCAGGGGAUUCUCUAUUUUUCAUCAAAGGGUUAGAAAUGGGAGCUCAAUAUUAAUAAGUUCUUGCUUAAUUAGAUGAAGACAUCAUGUACGGGGAAGGCUGCAACUAUUUUCCCUUCACACGUGUAGGGAUCUGCUUCAAAGAUUGUGCAGCUGGGGAGAGAGAGGAGGGGACCUGGCUUUUAUAUAUUAUAGUGUCAGGGGUGCCGGUCAGCAGGCAGGCCGGGUCCCCUCUCAGGAUAGGUCCUUGCUUUAAAGCUGAUGCCAGGGAGAAGUCAGCACCCCCGGACAGCAUGAAGCAAGGGGUGUAAAGGAGAAAGCAAGGUUUGGCAGAAAAAGUAACCAAAUCCCUUAGCCUUUGGGGCCUGUGCCGUGAGACUUUAUUGUACUUUAUUCCAAACUUAUGAGAAAAACCAAGUGGUAUAAGCAGGGGGCCAAGCGUACUGGUCUGUGGAGGAUAAAGAGAUCAUUUACAAUAUGGUUGCUUUCUCUUUUGGUCUCACUCCAUCAAAACUGUGCAUUUUAAACUGGUGGCCCGAUGGGGGCCUCUGUUCAAACUGGCCAUCUUCAGGGCAGAAGCAGAGCCAGGACCAGUGGUCAUGGGUGCUGAGCGUUGGGCAGCCUGACAGGCAUCCCCUAGACACACGUGCCUGGGAUGGGGUUGAUAUUCACCUGUUCAUCGCAACACUGCAGCAUUGCAACGAGGGAUGUGGGCCCUCAGUGAUUGCAGACCUGUAUCAUAGAAAUGGUCCAGGUGCAUAAAUGAGACCAGUAUUUGUGGCUUUGGCUUUCCGUGGAGUCGUGCAUAACUGGGGCUUCUGCCUGGAAUCUUUAGAGUGCAUAACCGCAGCCAGUCGCUUGGCUCUGGCUUCAUGUAGACAAGCCAAGGGUCCUCUUGUCCAACACGGGUGCCACCUAUCAGUAACUACUACCUGCAGGCUGUGUUCUGGAUCUGCUGCUGGGCUCCACACCUAUCUGGGAACAUCUGUUCCUUAAAACCAAGCACUUGAACACACAAAUGUCCUAAGUGAAGAUGAACCAUGUAACUUAACGCACGUUUUUUAAACCUCUCUGAGCUUCUGCCUUUUAACCUGUAAAAGGGACCCACGAUCACAGGGAUGUUUGUGUACAGAAUUAAAUAACAACUAACUAAAUAACUAAAUCAUUAAAUAACCGUCAGAAAUCCAGCAUUGGUCUUUAUUACUACUGCAGACUCUGAAGUUCAUCAAAGGAGAGUCUGUGUUUUCUUGGUUGCACUUCCUGAGCUGGGCAUCUGGUGGUGAUUCACAAAUAUGUAUUGAAUGAAACAUCAAUCAUGACAACAUAGUUUAAAGACUAAUAAUUAAAACAUCAUUCAUUGGAUGUGAGUGUCUUGUAAACCAUUUUGAGAUGUUGCUGUCAGUGUCUGCAAGAGGAAAAUAAGGAUUCAAGGAUAAUUCAAGUGAGUCUUCCCCAAUUAUUUGCUUUAUUUUUUAUAUGUUUGCAAUAUUUACAAUAAAAAAAAUACAGUGGGGACACCUGGGUGGCUAAGUCAGUUUAGCAUCUGACUUUAGCUCAGGUCACGAUCUCACAGUUUGUGGGUUCAAGCCCCGCAUCAGGCUCUGUGCCGACAGCUUGCUCAGAGCCUGCAGCCUGCUUCAGAUUCUACGUCUCCUUCUUGCUGUCUGCCCCCACCCCAAUCAUGCUCUGUCUCUCUCUGUCUCUCAAAAAUAAAUAAAUGUUAAAAACAUUUUUUUUAAAAUACAGUGAAAUAUCCUAAGAAGACUGGAGAGGCCAGGGUGGUGGUUUGAUAACCAAACAACU